ACAGGAUGGUCGGCGGCGGCGGGAAGCGCAGGCCGAGCGGGGCGGGGCCGCAGUGUGAAAAGGCAGUUGAAGUGAAGAAAAGUAAAUCCUGUGAAGCUGAUGUCUCCGGUGACCUUCGGAAAGAAGUAGAAAAUCUUUAUCAGCUUUCCCUACCUGAAGAUUUCUAUCAUUUCUGGAAGUUCUGUGAAGAGCUUGAUCCUGAAAAGCCAGCCGGGAUUCUCCUGAUGAACUUCCUGUAUAUGUUGGUACAAAUGAGGCAAAGAAAAAUUGUGUAAUUAUUCAAAAUGGAGACAAUGUGUUUGCUGCCAUCAAGUUAUUUUUGAUGAAAAAACUUAAAGAAGUAACAGAUAGAAAGAAAACUAGCAUUUUGAAAAACAUAGAUGAGAAACUCACAGAAGCAGCCAGAAAACUAGGCUACUCGCUGGAACAGAGAACCUUGAAGAUGAAACAGAGAGAUAAGAAGGUUGUGACAAAGACCUUUCAUGGUGCAGGCUUGGUUGUUCCUGUCGAUAAAAAUGACGUUGGCUAUCGAGAGCUCCCUGAAACAGAUGCUGACCUUAAAAGAAUUUGCAAGGCAAUUGUUGAGGCUGCAAGUGAUGAGGAGAGACUGAAAGCGUUUGCUCCCAUUCAGGAAAUGAUGACUUUUGUGCAGUUUGCUAAUGAUGAAUGUGAUUAUGGCAUGGGGCUUGAAUUAGGAAUGGACCUCUUUUGCUAUGGCUCUCAUUAUUUUCACAAAGUUGCUGGCCAGCUUUUACCUCUUGCAUAUAAUCUGUUGAAGAGGGAUCUGUUUGCAAAAGUUAUUGAAGAUCAUCUGGCAAGCAGAAGUACAGAGAACAUAGAUCAGCUUGCGGGAUGAGAGUUGCUGUCCGUGCAGAGUUUUAGAGUGGGACUGUCAGAUGGGACUUUGUUUUUAAGGAAUACAGAAAUAAAUAAUGGAAACAUUUAUUAAAAACUUU